AGAGUUUGAUCCUGGCUCAGGACGAACGCUGGCGGCGUGCUUAACACAUGCAAGUCACGGGGGCCCGCAAGGGCAACCGGCGAACGGGUGCGUAACACGUGAGCAAUCUGCCGAUUUCUGGGGGAUAGCCGGCCCAACGGCCGGGUAAUACCGCAUACGCUCUUUGCGAGGAGUCUCGUGAAGAGGAAACCUCCGGGGGAAAUCGAGGAGCUCGCGGCCUAUCAGCUAGUUGGCGAGGUAAUGGCUCACCAAGGCGACGACGGGUAGCUGGUCUGAGAGGAUGGCCAGCCACAUUGGGACUGAGAGACGGCCCAGACUCCUACGGGAGGCAGCAGUGGGGAAUCUUGCGCAAUGGCCGAAAGGCUGACGCAGCGACGCCGCGUGGGUGAUGACGGCCUUCGGGUUGUAAAGCCCUUUUCUCGGGGAAGAUGAUGACGGUACCCGAGGAAGAAGCCCCGGCUAACUACGUGCCAGCAGCCGCGGUAAUACGUAGGGGGCGAGCGUUGCCCGGAUUUAUUGGGCGUAAAGGGCGCGUAGGCGGCCAUGUGCGUCACGGGUGAAAUCUCCCGGCUCAACUGGGAGGGGUCCUGUGAUACGGCGUGGCUCGAGCGAGGUAGGGGGUCGUGGAAUUCCCGGUGUAGUGGUGGAAUGCGUAGAGAUCGGGAGAAACACCCGUGGCGAAGGCGGCGACCUGGACCUCGGCUGACGCUAAGGCGCGAAAGCGUGGGGAGCGAUCCGGAUUAGAUACCCCGGUAGUCC
rnacentral:rRNA from 1 species